UACAGAGGGUGCAAGCGUUAAUCGGAAUUACUGGGCGUAAAGCGAGCGUAGUCGGUUAUUUAAGUCGGACGUGAAAUCCCUCGGCUUAACCGGGGAACUGCAUCCGAUACUGGAUGGCUUGAGUUCGGGAGAGGGAUGCGGAAUUCCAGGUGUAGCGGUGAAAUGCGUAGAUAUCUGGAGGAACACCGGUGGCGAAGGCGGCAUCCUGGACCGACACUGACGCUGAGGAGCGAAAGCCAGGGGAGCAAACGGG
rnacentral:rRNA from 1 species